UGGGGAAUAUUGGACAAUGGGCGCAAGCCUGAUCCAGCGACGCCGCGUGGGGGAGGAAGGCCUUCGGGUUGUAAACCCCUGUCGUCCGGGAAGAAAAGCCGUCUGCGAACAGUGGACGGUCUUGACGGUACCGGAGGAGGAAGCCCCGGCUAACUACGUG
rnacentral:rRNA from 1 species